rnacentral:rRNA from 1 species
UACGGAGGGUGCGAGCGUUGUCCGGAAUCACUGGGCGUAAAGGGCGCGUAGGCGGCCUGGUAAGUAGGGGGUGAAAUCCUGCGGCUUAACCGCAGGGCUGCCUUCUAAACUGUCAGGCUCGAGCACGGUAGAGGCAGAUGGAAUUCCCGGUGUAGCGGUGGAAUGCGUAGAGAUCGGGAAGAACAUCAGUGGCGAAGGCGGUCUGCUGGGCCGUUGCUGACGCUGAGACGCGAAAGCUAGGGGAGCAAACGGG